GGGAAGAAAGUGUCACGUGCUCUCUCAUGAGUGAGUGGAGAUAGUUACAUGGUUAUUAGUUGUUGCAUAAUUGUAGGAGUUUGCAUGUCUUUAGUUGUUGAGUAGUUUUAGGAGUCAUGUUAUCCACUUUUAUAGUGGGCGUCAUGGGAGAAGUUUCCCCCUUUCUAAGCUUUCAGUUAGAGUCCUUGUUUGUAUAAAUUUCAGUGGCUUUUCAUUAAUGAGAUAUCAGAUAUUAUCCCUUAUUGUUAGCUUGUCUAACUUGGAGGUUUUGGGUUCCCUCGAAGCAACCCUUAUCGUCUAAUUGUUAUCCCAACUGAGCCUUCUAAAUAUUGCUGCAGCCAUAGGUGGCCGUAAGAAGAAAACUACAUACCAAGUUCCUAUACCUAAUCGCCCAAUCACACGAGCGUUGUCCCAAGCACAUAACAGCUUGGUAUCAGAGCUGGGCAUGGAGGAGCAACGGGUAGAACGCUUGGAAACUGAAGUGGGCUCCCUAGCCACUGGACAAGAAAGAAUACUCAAGGAGAUGCAAGAGAUGUUCGCAGCCAUGAAUGCUCGCUUGGAUCAAAUUUCUCGAACCGGUGAUGGAUCCAGUAGUGCUUUCAAUGGUGGUGGAGGUCGAACAUUUGGAAGUGGAUCCACCACUCCAAAUUCUGGCAACUCUUACCUUCCUAAAAUGGUGAAGCUGGACUUUCCUCACUUCAACGGAUUGGAAGAUCCCACAAGUUGGAUAUGUCGUGCUGAACAAUUCUUUGACUUUCACCACACUCCAGAAACGGAGAGAGUUCCGUUAGCUUCAUUUAAUCUUGAAGGGGAUGCGCAAUUGUGGUUCCAAUUGAUGAAGGAGGAAACCCCGAUCACCACAUGGGCAACUUUUAAGCAAGGACUACAUGACAGGUACGGUCCCACCCAAUUUCAAGACUUCUUUGGUGAUCUGACAAAGUUGCAACAAACAGGUUCAGUACGAGAUUAUCAAACCCAGUUUGAGAAAUUAUUGAUUAGAGCAGGACGACUCACUCCAGAUCAACAAGUUGGCUGUUUUGUGAGUGGGUUGAAGGAGAAUAUCAAAACUGAUGUGCAAGCGUGUAAGCCGCAAACACUCUCUGCUGCUAUCGGUUUGGCUCGCCUGUAUGAGUCCCGCAACCAAACAAAUAGGCGAUACUCACCUUCGGAUGUGAAGCAGCCCUCUACCAAUAUUGUUACGAAGUCUGACCGUCGACAAAAUUUCAUGCCAAUUAAGCGGCUGUCUCCAGCCGAAUUAAAGGAACGAAGAGACAAAGGACUUUGCUUCAAUUGUGAUGAAAAGUUUAGUCCUGGACACAGGUGCAAAAAAUUAUUUCUCAUUGAAGGUUGUUGGCCUGAUGUAGAAGACGAAGCGGAGGGCGAAUGUAAUGCUGAAGUUGACUUGGCUGGAGAAGAAUUACCUGAAGUAUCUAUUCAUGCAAUAUAUGGUGCUCGGACUCCCCAGACAAUGAGGGUGCAUGGCAACGUGGGCAAACAUCAAAUGACUUUCUUGGUCGAUUAUGGAAGCACACAUAAUUUUUUGAGUAGUAAAAUUGCUCGAAAGGCUGGCAUUAAUCCCACUGGUUUUGGAAAGUUUGAGGUUUCGGUUGCAAAUGGCGAAAAGCUUGCAAGCGAUGGGCUUUGCAAGGGAGUCUGCAUUCUAGUUCAAGGUGUUCCUAUAACUGUUGAUAUGUACCUUCUUCCAUUGGAGGGGUGUGAUGCUGUUCUGGGGGCUCAAUGGUUGAGCACGUUAGGGCCAAUUGUUUGGGAUUUCUCUCAAUUGCAAAUGAAGUUCAAUGUGGGAGGGAAAACAGUGGUUCUUAAAGGGGUGACACCACAGGAUAAAAUUGUUAAUGAGCAUGAGAUUUGUAAGGAGUUGAAGAAAAAGAAAGAAGGCGUCAUUCUGCAAAUCUACUCACUUGUUUUGCAAGACCAUGACGGUACAUCAUUUCCCAAACUUGAUUUGAUUAAUUCUGAUUUAAAGCAUCUUUUGCUACUUUUUGAUGAGAUAUUUGUUGAACCACGUGGAUUACCACCACCAAGAUCCCAUGACCAUGUGAUACCGCUAAAGGAAGGUAGUAAUCCGGUGAGUGUGAGGCCUUACAGAUACCCACAAUUUCAAAAGAACGAAAUUGAGCGGUUGGUGGCAGAUAUGUUGAAAUCAGGUGUGAUUCGGCCUAGUCAAAGUCCAUAUUCUUCUCCUGUGUUAUUGGUUAAGAAGUAUGAUGGCUCAUGACGACUAUGUAUAGACUAUCGAGCGUUGAACCAGAACACCAUCAAAGACAAGUUCCCUAUCCUUGUCAUUGACGAACUGCUUGAUGAACUUCAUGGUGCCAAAUAUUUCACCAAACUGGAUUUGCGUUCUGGAUACCAUCAAAUAAGGAUGCAUCCAGAUGACAUAUCCAAGACAGCAUUCCGGACACAUCAAGGGCAUUAUGAAUUUUUGGUGAUGCCAUUUGGCCUCACCAAUGCACCCUCCACUUUUCAGUCACUAAUGAAUGAAGUCUUCAAAGAAUACCUUCGUAAGUUCAUUUUGGUAUUCUUUGAUGAUAUUUUAAUUUAUAGCUCAACAUGGGAGCAACAUUUGGAGCAUAUAAAAAUUGCGUUGUCUAUUUUGAGGGCUAACAAGUUGUUUGUGAAGGAAGAAAAGUGUGCAUUUGGACAGGAAGAAGUAAAAUAUUUGGGGCAUGUUAUUUCUAGCAAAGGAGUUGCUGUAGAUCCAGAAAAAAUUGAUGCUAUGCUGGAGUGGCCCAAACCAACCACUGUCAAAGCUUUACGUGGGUUCUUGGGCCUAACUGGGUAUUACAGAAAAUUCAUUCAAGACUAUGGCAAGAUUGCUAGACCAUUGACUGAGAUGCUUAAAAAAGGAAGCUUCAAAUGGAGUCUCCAGGCUGAAGAAUCAUUUGAGAGACUAAAAGAGGCGAUGACGAAGGCUCCUGUUCUUGCUUUACCAGACUUUAACAAGCUAUUUAUUGUGGAGUGCGAUGCAUCUAGAUCUGGAAUUGGUGGAGUUCUAAUGCAAGAAAAACGCCCAAUAGCAUUUUUCAGCCAUGCACUACAAGGUAAGACUUUGUUCUUAUCUACCUAUGAAAAGGAGAUGAUGGCUUUAGUGUUUGCAGUGCAAAAGUGGAGGCCAUAUUUACUUGGGCGAAAAUUUGUUGUGCGGACUGAUCAAAGAAGCUUGAGGCAUUUGUGGGAGCAGAAAAUUACUACAACGGCCCAAGAAAAAUGGCUUGUCAAGUUGAUGGGCUAUGACUUUACCAUAGAGUACAAGAAGGGAAAGGAAAAUUUGGUGGCCGAUGCUCUUUCAAGAAGGAAUGCAAGUGGAGUGGCAGCCAUCUCAACCCCUGUGCCGAAUUGGUUAGAUCCAAUCAAAGAUGAGGUACAAAGCAACCAGACCAUGCAAGAGUUGGUGGACAAGUGUGAACAAGGUGAAGCGGUGGGUCCUUGGGAAUUUAAGGAUGGCAUACUCUACUUCAAAAAUAAAAUUUAUUUAAUGUCAGAUUCUUCUCUAAUACCUGUCAUAGUGGAGGAGAUGCAUUCAAGCACACAUGAGGGUUACCACAAAACCUUGCAGAGAGCAAGGUCAGUCUUUUACUGGCAGGGAAUGCGAAGCAGUAUCAGAGAAUUUAUCAAGCAAUGUGACACUUGUCAAAUGAAUAAAGGAGAAAAUACUAAGCCAGCAGGACUUCUUCAACCUCUCCCAAUCCCUUUACAGGUAUGGACCGACAUCUCAAUGGACUUUAUUGAUGGCCUUCCUAAAUCCAAUGGGAAAACAACUAUUUUUGUUAUAGUUGACAGACUCUCAAAGUUUGCCCAUUUCAUUCCGGUCUCUCACCCAUAUACUGCUACAACCAUAGCUCAAAUAUUUUUUGACCACAUCUUCAAACUAUAUGGUAUGCCGCAAAGUAUUGUUUGUGAUAGGGAUCCCACUUUUACAAGCCUUUUUUGGAGGGAAUUAUUCAAAUUGCAGGGAACAAGCUUCAAUUUUAGCUCAUCUUAUCACCCCCAAACUGACGGACAAACUGAAGUGGUAAACAGAACUGUUGAAAUGUAUCUAAGAUGUUUUACAAGUCACAACCAAAAAGAAUGGGUGCGAUGGAUUCCUUGGGCUGCAUAUUGCUACAAUACCAGUAUACAUGCUUCUACCAAAAAGACUCCAUACGAGAUAGUUUAUGGGAAACCACCCCCGAAUUUAUUGUCCUAUGUUCCAGGAACCACUCAAGUGGAAGCCGUUGAUCAGGAGCUACGCAGCAGAGAACAAGUCCUCAAGGACCUGCGAGAACACUUGCUUGUGGCUCAAGAGCGCAUGAAAAAGUUCUACGAUGCCAAGCGAAUUGAUAAAAGCUUUGAGGUUGGUGACUUUGUCUAUCUGAAAUUACAACCUUAUCGCCAAAUGUCUUUGUCACUACGAAGGAAUCUGAAGUUAUCACCAAGAUUCUUUGGGCCAUAUGAAAUUCUCCAGAGGGUGGGACAAGUGGCUUAUAAAUUGAAGCUUCCUGAGGGGUCCAGAAUUCAUCCAAUCUUUCACGUGUCAUUGCUCAAAAAGAAGGUGGGCACUAACGUGGCAGUCCAAGACUCUUUGCCUGCACUUUCAUAUGGAGAGGAUACUCUUUUUCCCAUGCCACAAGCCAUCCUUGGUCAACGAAAAAGGAAGAAUCAAGAAGAAGUCUUGGUACAUUGGAAAGGCUUGUCUCCAGCAGAUGCAACUUGGGAAAAUUUGAAGGAGUUGCAACUCAGAUUUCCAGAUGUCAACCUUGAGGACAAGGUUUUUUCGAUGGGGGAAGGAAUGUCACGUGCUCUCUCAUGAGUGAGUGGAGAUAGUUACAUGGUUAUUAGUUGUUGCAUAAUUGUAGGAGUUUGCAUGUCUUUAGUUGUUGAGUAGUUUUAGGAGUCAUGUUAUCCACUUUUAUAGUGGGCGUCAUGGGAGAAGUUUCCCCCUUUCUAAGCUUUCAGUUAGAGUCCUUGUUUGUAUAAAUUUCAGUGGCUUUUCAUUAAUGAGAUAUCAUAUAUUAUCCCUUAUUGUUAGCUUGUCUAACUUGGAGGUUUUGGGUUCCCUCGAAGCAACCCUUAUCGUCUAAUUGUUAUCCCAACUGAGCCUUCUAAAUAUUGCUGCAGCCAUAGGUGGCCGUAAGAAGAAAACUACAUACCAAGUUCCUAUACCUAAUCGCCCAAUCACACGAGCGUUGUCCCAAGCACAUAAC
rnacentral:lncRNA from 1 species